AGAGUUUGAUCCUGGCUCAGGAUGAACGCUGGCGGCGUGCUUAACACAUGCAAGUCGAACGAUGAUCCCAGCUUGCUGGGGGAUUAGUGGCGAACGGGUGAGUAACACGUGAGUAACCUGCCCUUAACUCUGGGAUAAGCCUGGGAAACUGGGUCUAAUACCGGAUAUGACUCCUCAUCGCAUGGUGGGGGGUGGAAAGCUUUAUUGUGGUUUUGGAUGGACUCGCGGCCUAUCAGCUUGUUGGUGAGGUAAUGGCUCACCAAGGCGACGACGGGUAGCCGGCCUGAGAGGGUGACCGGCCACACUGGGACUGAGACACGGCCCAGACUCCUACGGGAGGCAGCAGUGGGGAAUAUUGCACAAUGGGCGAAAGCCUGAUGCAGCGACGCCGCGUGAGGGAUGACGGCCUUCGGGUUGUAAACCUCUUUCAGUAGGGAAGAAGCGAAAGUGACGGUACCUGCAGAAGAAGCGCCGGGCUAACUACGUGCCAGCAGCCGCGGUAAUACGUAGGGCGCAAGCGUUAUCCGGAAUUAUUGGGCGUAAAGAGCUCGUAGGCGGUUUGUCGCGUCUGCCGUGAAAGUCCGGGGCUCAACUCCGGAUCUGCGGUGGGUACGGGCAGACUAGAGUGAUGUAGGGGAGACUGGAAUUCCUGGUGUAGCGGUGAAAUGCGCAGAUAUCAGGAGGAACACCGAUGGCGAAGGCAGGUCUCUGGGCAUUAACUGACGCUGAGGAGCGAAAGCAUGGGGAGCGAACAGGAUUAGAUACCCUGGUAGUCCAUGCCGUAAACGUUGGGCACUAGG
rnacentral:rRNA from 1 species